GCCUGGGCGACAGAGCGAGACUCCGUCUCAAAAAAAAAAAAAAAAAAGAAACCAACCCCUUCUCCAGCUCCCCGCAACACCAACAGGCCGCUGCAGUGCCAGGGUGCCCAUGCUGGGGGUCUCAACAUGUGCCGUUCUUGUUUCUAUUGCAGUUUGUAAGUAGUUUUCAGAAGACAGAGUUAGAGGGAAGCUGCGUGGGUUGCACGGUGCUGAAUUACAGGGAUGGGAACUCCAGUGUCCUCGUACAUUUCCAGUUGCACUUUCUGCUGCGACCCCUCCAGACGCUAAGCCUGGGCCUGGAGGAGGAGCUAUUGCAGAGAGGGAUCCAGGCAAGGCUGCGAGAGCGUGGCAUCUCCCUGGCUGCCUAUGGCACAAUCGUGUCAGCCGAGCUCACAGGUGAGAGGGCAGCCGAGACCGAAACCCCAUCACGAGGAGGCUGGAGGGCGGCAGGCGUUGCAAGAUACAUUUUGAUAAUCACCUCUUCCCAUAAAAAUAAAACAAACUGGCCAGGUGCAGUGGCUCACGCCUGUAAUCCCAGCACUUUGGGAGGCCAAGGCGGGUGGAUCACUUGAGGUCAGGAGUUGAGACCAGACUGGCCAAUAUGGUGAAACCCCAUCUCUACUAAAAAUACAAAGAUUAGUUGAGCAUGGUGGCGUGGACCUGUCAUCCCAGCUACACGGAAUUCUCCUGAGGCAGGAGAAUCGCUUGAACCCGGGAGGUGGAGGUUGCAGUGAGCCGAGAUCGUGCCAUUUUUUCCCACUCCAGCCUGGGAGAAAAAAGUGAAACUUCAUCUCAAAAGCAAACAAACGUAAAAACUGACAUUGCCUUUCCUUAAUGGUGUGGACCCCAGGGGUCAGCGAUCUUGUUUUAUAAAGAGAGUGUAAAUCUUUUCUUUUCUUUUUUUUUUUCUGGGACAGGGUCUCACUCUGUUGCCCAGGUUGGAG
rnacentral:lncRNA from 10 species